rnacentral:lncRNA from 1 species
GGGAUUUGAAAAACCUGUAAAUGUAUUACUAACGACUUUGCUUUAAAUCAAGAUUCCUUUCAGAUUUGCAUAUCUUUUUCUUUUGGUAUGGACUCAUAACGACAGGGGAUAACCCCUUCAGACAACGAAAAUAAAGCCAUGUUAGGAACAGGAGGAGAACCUUGUCCUAACAUGGGCAAAGUUGAAAGUUCGGUUAUUUUAGAUCGGAUGGGGGGAG